rnacentral:rRNA from 1 species
UACGUAGGCAGCAAGCGUUGUUCGGAAUUACUGGGCGUAAAGGGCGCGUAGGCGGCCGAUCAAGUCAGAUGUGAAAGUCCUGGGCUUAACCUGGGGACUGCAUUUGAUACUGAUUGGCUUGAAUGCAGGAGAGGAUAGCGGAAUUCCCAGUGUAGAGGUGAAAUUCGUAGAUAUUGGGAAGAACACCGGUGGCGAAGGCGGCUAUCUGGACUGUGAUUGACGCUGAGGCGCGAAAGCGUGGGGAGCAAACAGG